AGCAGCCGCGGUAAUUCCAGCUCCAAUAGCGUAUAUUAAAGUUGUUGCAGUUAAAAAGCUCGUAGUUGAAUUUCGGGAUCAAGGAAUCGGUCAUGCCUCGGUAUGUACUGGUUUUAUUGGUUCUCACCUUCUAAAGAACCAUAAUGUCAUUUAUUUGAUGUUAUGGGGAAUUAGGACUGUUACCUUGAAAAAAUUAGAGUGUUUAAAGCAAGCUUACGCUUGAAUACAUUAGCAUGGAAUAAUGAAAUAGGACAUCCGAUUCUAUUUUGUUGGUUUCUAGGAUCGAUGUAAUGAUUAAUAGGGAUAGUUGGGGGCAUUAGUAUUCAAUUGUCAGAGGUGAAAUUCUUGGAUUUAUUGAAGACUAACUACUGCGAAAGCAUUUGCCAAGGAUGUUUUCAUUAAUCAAGAACGAAAGUUAGGGGAUCGAAGACGAUCAGAUACCGUCGUAGUCUUAACCAUAAACUAUGCCGACUAGGGAUCGGAUGAUGUUUAUUUUUAGUGACCCAUUCGGCACCUUACG
rnacentral:rRNA from 1 species